CGCGAAGAACCUUACCAAAUCUUGACAUCCUUUGACAACUCUAGAGAUAGAGCUUUCCUCUUCGGAGGACAAAGUGACAGGUGGUGCAUGGUUGUCGUCAGCUCGUGUCGUGAGAUGUUGGGUUAAGUCCCGCAACGAGCGCAACCCUUGAACUUAGUUGCCAUCAUUUAGUUGGGCACUCUAAGUUGACUGCCGGUGACAAACCGGAGGAAGGUGGGGAUGACGUCAAAUCAUCAUGCCCCUUAUGAUUUGGGCUACACACGUGCUACAAUGGACAAUACAAAGGGCAGCGAAACCGCGAGGUCAAGCAAAUCCCAUAAGGUUGUUCUCAGUUCGGAUUGUAGUCUGCAACUCGACUACAUGAAGCUGGAAUCGCUAGUAAUCGUAGAUCAGCAUGCUACGGUGAAUACGUUCCCGGGUCUUGUACACACC
rnacentral:rRNA from 1 species